rnacentral:rRNA from 1 species
UACAGAGGGGGCAAGCGUUAUUCGGAAUUACUGGGCGUAAAGCGCACGUAGGCGGCUUGUUAAGUCAGGGGUGAAAUCCUGGAGCUCAACUCCAGAACUGCCUUUGAUACUGAGGAUCUUGAGUUCGGGAGAGGUGAGUGGAACUGCGAGUGUAGAGGUGAAAUUCGUAGAUAUUCGCAAGAACACCAGUGGCGAAGGCGGCUCACUGGCCCGAUACUGACGCUGAGGCACGAAAGCGUGGGGAGCAAACAGG